GGGUGAGUAACGCGUGGGAACGUACCUUUUGGUUCGGAACAACACAGGGAAACUUGUGCUAAUACCGGAUAAGCCCUUACGGGGAAAGAUUUAUCGCCGAAAGAUCGGCCCGCGUCUGAUUAGCUAGUUGGUGAGGUAAUGGCUCACCAAGGCGACGAUCAGUAGCUGGUCUGAGAGGAUGAUCAGCCACAUUGGGACUGAGACACGGCCCAAACUCCUACGGGAGGCAGCAGUGGGGAAUAUUGGACAAUGGGGGCAACCCUGAUCCAGCCAUGCCGCGUGAGUGAUGAAGGCCCUAGGGUUGUAAAGCUCUUUUGUGCGGGAAGAUAAUGACGGUACCGCAAGAAUAAGCCCCGGCUAACUUCGUGCCAGCAGCCGCGGUAAUACGAAGGGGGCUAGCGUUGCUCGGAAUCACUGGGCGUAAAGGGUGCGUAGGCGGGUCUUUAAGUCAGGGGUGAAAUCCUGGAGCUCAACUCCAGAACUGCCUUUGAUACUGAGGAUCUUGAGUUCGGGAGAGGUGAGUGGAACUGCGAGUGUAGAGGUGAAAUUCGUAGAUAUUCGCAAGAACACCAGUGGCGAAGGCGGCUCACUGGCCCGAUACUGACGCUGAGGCACGAAAGCGUGGGGAGCAAACAGGAUUAGAUACCCUGGUAGUCCACGCCGUAAACGAUGAAUGCCAGCCGUUAGUGGGUUUACUCACUAGUGGCGCAGCUAACGCUUUAAGCAUUCCGCCUGGGGAGUACGGUCGCAAGAUUAAAACUCAAAGGAUUUGACGGGGGCCCGCACAAGCGGUGGAGCAUGUGGUUUAAUUCGACGCAACGCGCAGAACCUUACCAGCCCUUGACAUGUCCAGGACCGGUCGCAGAGAUGUGACCCUCUCUUC
rnacentral:rRNA from 1 species